UGUCUUCUUACGGGGUUUCACAUCCAUAUUUCCAGCAUCCUCUGACUUAGUCAAGGGAAAUGGCUGCAAUGAGGACAGCUGAGAUAGCACCACCAAAAACAAAAAACAGAAAACCAAAACCCUGAUCUGGUGCUUCAGACAAUCUUCUUAAAGGUGCAAUGCUUGGACUUCCUUGGGGAACGAGGAGUGCUAGCAAGAGACAGGAUCUAUUUGACCACGUAAGGUACUGAGGAGAGCUUUAAACUAUGUCCGCUUGGUGGGAUGUCGGUUUUCUCCAGUGAAGCUAAUGAAGAUAGAGGGAUCUCAGCACUUGGCAGGACUAAAUGAGUUUUCCCCCUUUCUGGUACCUGAGUCAGAAGUUAGCUUCUGUCUCCUGCUUACCAGUAGAAUGGGCUGCUUAUGGUAUCUUCAAAACUGAGAACACCACAGAUCCAUCGGAAAAAAAAAAUCAAACUUUUAAGAUACAUGAUACCUUAUUUUCAUGAGACCCACUGUUCAUCCAUAGACUCAUGAAGUUACAGGCCAAGGGAGACCUCCAGCUCAUCUACUCUUGUCUCCUGUAUCUCCAGUACCUGCCACUCUUGGUUUGAUUGGUUGAUUGGUUGGCUUUUUUCUUUUACACGAGACCACAGCAGCACUGUUGGAGGACAACCCUUCCAGUUUGGGAGCAGCGAGCAAGGUGCAGAAGCCCUGGCCCGGGAAAACGUGCCUGCGGCAUCUCCUCCAAACCCUGGGCAGAGCCGCGCUGCAGCCUGUGAAGCGACAGCUAGGGUGCACUGAUACAUAAGUGCCUGGCAACUGCUCUAAUUUAUUGCAGUAGCUGUGAUGGCUCUCCGUGAAGCCUAAAAUAAUCUAUGAGCGCUUCACAUUUUAAUAGUAUUCAUGUUGAGGGCCUCUGUGUGACUGCAGCUAUAUGAUAACAUAUGCCCCAAUCAGAUCUGCCCUUUGUGUACAAGAUGACACAAUUUGUGCAUAGUUAGCCAUGAGGGAGACAGAGAUUACCCAUUUCCAGUGCAGGCAACAGAGGGUCUACCAGCCUCUUGUAUAUACCAAAGAGAGGAGUAUUUCCAUUUUUCAGAUGUGCGUUUACACCCUCAGAGCACAACA